rnacentral:sRNA from 1 species
AGAGUAAGAGAACGAUUUAAGGAGCGAAUACUACUGGUAAACUAAUGGAAGAAAUCUGCUGCACCACUGGAUAUUGGGAGUGUGUGGCAUGCAUCCUCAUCAUCAGGAAACUCUAAAAAAGAACCGAGUGGUGCUAGCCAAACAGCUGUUGUUGAGUGAAUUGUUAGAACAUCUUCUGGAGAAGGACAUCAUCACCUUGGAAAUGAGGGAGCUCAUCCAGGCCAAAGUGGGCAGUUUCAGCCAGAAUGUGGAACUCCUCAACUUGCUGCCUAAGAGGGGUCCCCAAGCUUUUGAUGCCUUCUGUGAAGCACUGAGGGAGACCAAGCAAGGCCACCUGGAGGAUAUGUUGCUCACCACCCUUUCUGGGCUUCAGCAUGUACUCCCACCGUUGAGCUGUGACUACGACUUGAGUCUCCCUUUUCCGGUGUGUGAGUCCUGUCCCCUUUACAAGAAGCUCCGCCUGUCGACAGAUACUGUGGAACACUCCCUAGACAAUAAAGAUGGUCCUGUCUGCCUUCAGGUGAAGCCUUGCACUCCUGAAUUUUAUCAAACACACUUCCAGCUGGCAUAUAGGUUGCAGUCUCGGCCUCGUGGCCUAGCACUGGUGUUGAGCAAUGUGCACUUCACUGGAGAGAAAGAACUGGAAUUUCGCUCUGGAGGGGAUGUGGACCACAGUACUCUAGUCACCCUCUUCAAGCUUUUGGGCUAUGACGUCCAUGUUCUAUGUGACCAGACUGCACAGGAAAUGCAAGAGAAACUGCAGAAUUUUGCACAGUUACCUGCACACCGAGUCACGGACUCCUGCAUCGUGGCACUCCUCUCGCAUGGUGUGGAGGGCGCCAUCUAUGGUGUGGAUGGGAAACUGCUCCAGCUACAAGAGGUUUUUCAGCUCUUUGACAACGCCAACUGCCCAAGCCUACAGAACAAACCAAAAAUGUUCUUCAUCCAGGCCUGCCGUGGAGGUGCUAUUGGAUCCCUUGGGCACCUCCUUCUGUUCACUGCUGCCACCGCCUCUCUUGCUCUAUGAGACUGAUCGUGGGGUUGACCAACAAGAUGGAAAGAACCACGCAGGAUCCCCUGGGUGCGAGGAGAGUGAUGCCGGUAAAGAAAAGUUGCCGAAGAUGAGACUGCCCACGCGCUCAGACAUGAUAUGCGGCUAUGCCUGCCUCAAAGGGACUGCCGCCAUGCGGAACACCAAACGAGGUUCCUGGUACAUCGAGGCUCUUGCUCAAGUGUUUUCUGAGCGGGCUUGUGAUAUGCACGUGGCCGACAUGCUGGUUAAGGUGAACGCACUUAUCAAGGAUCGGGAAGGUUAUGCUCCUGGCACAGAGUUCCACCGGUGCAAGGAGAUGUCUGAAUACUGCAGCACUCUGUGCCGCCACCUCUACCUGUUCCCAGGACACCCUCCCACAUGAUGUCACCUCCCCAUCAUCCACGCCAAGUGGAAGCCACUGGACCACAGGAGGUGUGAUAGAGCCUUUGAUCUUCAGGAUGCACGGUUUCUGUUCUGCCCCCUCAGGGAUGUGGGAAUCUCCCAGACUUGUUUCCUGUGCCCAUGAUCUCUGCCUUUGAGUGUGGGACUCCAGGCCAGCUCCUUUUCUGUGAAGCCCUUUGCCUGUAGAGCCAGCUUUGGUUGGACCUAUUGCCAGGAAUGUUUCAGCUACAGUUGAAGAGCCUCACAAGUGAAGUUGUAAACACAGUGUGGUUAUGGGGAGAGGGCAUAUAAGUUCCCCAUAUUUGUGUUCAGUUCCAGCUUUUGUAGAUGGCACUUUAGUGAUUGCUUUUAUUACAUUAGUUAAGAUGUCUGAGAGACCAUCUCCUAUCUUUUAUUUCAUUCAUAUCCUCCGCCCUUCUUGUCCUAGAGUGAGAGUUUGGAAGGUGUCCAAAUUUAACGUAGACAUUAUCUUUUGGCUCUGAAGAGGCAAACAUGACUAGAGACGCACCUUGCUGCAGUGUCCAGAAGCGGCCUGUGCGUUCCCUUCAGUACUGCAGGGCACCCAGUGGAAGGACACUCUUGGCUCGUUUGGGCUCAAGGCACCGCAGCCUGUCAGCCAACGUUGCCUUGCAUUUGUACCUUAUUGAUCUUUGCCCAUGGAAGUCUCAAAGAUCUUUCAUUGGUUGUUUCUCUGAGCUUUGUUACUGAAAUGAGCCUCGUGGGGAGCAUC